rnacentral:ncRNA from 1 species
AUAUGGCAUAAAAUUAUCAGAUAUGUAAGUUCAAGGACUUACAUAGAGUAUAUAUGCCAUACAAGUUUUAUUCCCUCCGUGAAAUCGGUAAAAAUAUAAAUAUAAAAGCACGUUCUAGUAACAAGAAAUUCUUGUGAAAGAGAGUGCUUUUU